AAAUAGAUACCCGGGUAGUCCACCCCGUAAACGUUGGGAACUAGUUGUGGGGUCCAUUCCACGGAUUCCGUGACGCAGCUAACGCAUUAAGUUCCCCGCCUGGGGAGUACGGCCGCAAGGCUAAAAACUCAAAGGAAUUGACGGGGACCCGCACAAGCGGCGGAGCAUGCGGAUUAAUUCGAUGCAACGCGAAGAACCUUACCAAGGCUUGACAUAUACGAGAACGGGCCAGAAAUGGUCAACUCUUUGGACACUCGUAAACAGGUGGUGCAUGGUUGUCGUCAGCUCGUGUCGUGAGAUGUUGGGUUAAGUCCCGCAACGAGCGCAACCCUCGUUCUAUGUUGCCAGCACGUAAUGGUGGGAACUCAUGGGAUACUGCCGGGGUCAACUCGGAGGAAGGUGGGGAUGACGUCAAAUCAUCAUGCCCCUUAUGUCUUGGGCUUCACGCAUGCUACAAUGGCCGGUACAAAGGGCUGCAAUACCGCGAGGUGGAGCGAAUCCCGAAAAAGCCGGUCCCAGUUCGGAUUGAGGUCUGCAACUCGACUCAUGG
rnacentral:rRNA from 1 species